AUUCCUGGGGAAGCCAGCUACCAUGUUUGAGGCUACUCAAUGAGUCCUAGGAGAGGUCCAUGUGGUAUGGAGUGGAGGCCUCUUUCCAACAGCCAGUGAGGAACUGAGGCCUUGCACCAACAGCAUGCCAUGCUAUGGAGAUUGCACAAUGGACCUAUUGCUUCAAAGGAGAGUCACACAACACUCCUCAGCCACUGUGUUGACAGCCCUGGGCUGGAGGAAAGGCAGCAGUCUUCACAGAGCUCACUUUACGGCCGGGCUCACCCUUCACCCCAAGACAGCUUUGAUCACUGGGAAGUUUCCACAAACACAGAAUGAAUGAGGAAGAAGGUGGUUAGAUUUUCAGUGUGAUCCACGUGGACAAGAGAUGUUGCAUGUUUUUACAAAUUGAAGGUCUGUGGCAACCCUGGGUCAAGCAAGUCUAUCAGUGCCAUUCUUCCAAUACUCUCCUGGGUGCAGUCAAAGCUUCACUCCCUACGCCCUACUGAACUAUCAGCUGACUGAUUCCCACUUGUCCAUGCCCCAGGACCCCACAGAAGCUCCACAUGCUUCCACAAGCUGAUGCACCAGUUCCAAGAGGAGGAAGAAAAGCUGGCACUCAGCCUCUAUUUCUCCCCAAACUCCACAGUCAUUCAAUUCUGCCAAAAAAAAAAAAAACAAAAACCAUUGCUUUGAAAAACAUAAAAUCAGAUCUAUCAAACAGC